GCCUCAAUCUCAUCUCUCUUUUUGCGUUCUGCUUCAAUAUCUGGUUGAACGGCGUCGCGUCGUAACCCAGCUUGGUAAGUUGGAUUAAGCACUCCGUGGACAGAUUUGUCAUUGUGAGCAUUUUCAUCCCGAAGUUGCGGCUCAUUCUGAUUCUGAACAGCUUCUUGGGAAGUAGCGACAGCUUGGUUUUUAGUGAGUUGUUCCAUUCUUUAGCUCCUAGACCUUUAGCAGCAAGGUCCAUAUCUGACUUUUUGUUAACGUAUUUAGCCACAUAGAAACCAACAGCCAUAUAACUGGUAGCUUUAAGCGGCUCACCUUUAGCAUCAACAGGCCACAACCAACCAGAACGUGAAAAAGCGUCCUGCGUGUAGC
rnacentral:rRNA from 1 species